UUGAACGCUGGCGGCAGGCCUAACACAUGCAAGUCGCACGGUAACAGGAAGAAGCUUGCUUCUUUGCUGACGAGUGGCGGACGGGUGAGUAAUGUCUGGGAAACUGCCUGAUGGAGGGGGAUAACUACUGGAAACGGUAGCUAAUACCGCAUAACGUCGCAAGACCAAAGAGGGGGACCUUCGGGCCUCUUGCCAUCGGAUGUGCCCAGAUGGGAUUAGCUAGUAGGUGGGGUAACGGCUCACCUAGGCGACGAUCCCUAGCUGGUCUGAGAGGAUGACCAGCCACACUGGAACUGAGACACGGUCCAGACUCCUACGGGAGGCAGCAGUGGGGAAUAUUGCACAAAGGGCGCAAGCCUGAUGCAGCCAUGCCGCGUGUAUGAAGAAGGCCUUCGGGUUGUAAAGUACUUUCAGCGGGGAGGAAGGGAGUAAAGUUAAUACCUUUGCUCAUUGACGUUACCCGCAGAAGAAGCACCGGCUAACUCCGUG
rnacentral:rRNA from 1 species